rnacentral:rRNA from 1 species
GUCGAGCGGUAAGGCCCUUCGGGGUACACGAGCGGCGAACGGGUGAGUAACACGUGAGCAACCUGCCCCUGACUCCGGGAUAAGCGGUGGAAACGCCGUCUAAUACCGGAUACGACCCGCCACCUCAUGGUGGAGGGUGGAAAGUUUUAUCGGUCAGGGAUGGGCUCGCGGCCUAUCAGCUUGUUGGUGGGGUAAAGGCCUACCAAGGCGAUUACGGGUAGCCGGCCUGAGAGGGCGACCGGCCACACUGGGACUGAGACACGGCCCAGACUCCUGCGGGAGGCAGCAGUGGGGAAUAUUGCACAAUGGGCGAAAGCCUGAUGCAGCGACGCCGCGUGGGGGAUGAAGGCCUUCGGGUUGUAAACCUCUUUUACCACCAACGCAGGCUCCACGUUCUCGUGGGGUUGACGGUAGGUGGGGAAUAAGGACCGGCUAACUACGUGCCAGCAGCCGCGGUAAUACGUAGGGUCCGAGCGUUGUCCGGAAUUAUUGGGCGUAAAGAGCUCGUAGGCGGCAUGUCGCGUCUGCUGUGAAAGACCGGGGCUUAACUCCGGUUCUGCAGUGGAUACGGGCAUGCUAGAGGUAGGUAGGGGAAACUGGAAUUCCUGGUGUAGCGGUGAAAUGCGCAGAUAUCAGGAGGAACACCGGUGGCGAAGGCGGGUUUCUGGGCCUUACCUGACGCUGAGGAGCGAAAGCAUGGGGAGCGAACAGGAUUAGAUACCCUGGUAGUCCAUGCCGUAAACGUUGGGCGCUAGGUGUGGGGACUUUCCACGGUUUCCGCGCCGUAGCUAACGCAUUAAGCGCCCCGCCUGGGGAGUACGGCCGCAAGGCUAAAACUCAAAGGAAUUGACGGGGGCCCGCACAAGCGGCGGAGCAUGUUGCUUAAUUCGACGCAACGCGAAGAACCUUACCAAGGUUUGACAUCACCCGUGGACCUGUAGAGAUACAGGGUCAUUUAGUUGGUGGGUGACAGGUGGUGCAUGGCUGUCGUCAGCUCGUGUCGUGAGAUGUUGGGUUAAGUCCCGCAACGAGCGCAACCCUUGUUCCAUGUUGCCAGCACGUAAUGGUGGGGACUCAUGGGAGACUGCCGGGGUCAACUCGGAGGAAGGUGGGGACGACGUCAAGUCAUCAUGCCCCUUAUGUCUUGGGCUGCAAACAUGCUACAAUGGCCGGUACAAUGGGCGUGCGAUACCGUAAGGUGGAGCGAAUCCCUUAAAGCCGGUCUCAGUUCGGAUUGGGGUCUGCAACUCGACCCCAUGAAGGUGGAGUCGCUAGUAAUCGCGGAUCAGCAACGCCGCGGUGAAUACGUUCCCGGGCCUUGUACACACCGCCCGUCACGUCAUGAAAGUCGGCAACACCCGAAACUUGUGGCCUAACCCUUCGGGGAGGGA